AAAAGUCAUCUCAUCUGAAUCAGGAGAGACAUAAGUAAUGAUCAAGCACCGUUUACAAGUGAAAACUAAACUAAAAUAGUUCUAAACAAAUAAAUAGGUGGAUUUUUAUGUGAAAGGACAAAAGGGGAUGAAGUUUUUCACUGGAGAAAGCAUUAUUAGGGAUUAUAGACUGUAGAUCCACUGAUGAGCAAAUGAUGUAGUGCUAAAUUUAUCCAAAUCUGUUUCAAUGAAGAACCAAAUUCAUCUACAUCUUGGAUGACCAGAAGCUGAGUAAAUAUUCAGCAAAUUUUCAUUUUGGGGUAAACCAUUCCUUUAAGUGUUUUUGAGAUUUUCACCCUUUUGUUUCUAUUUUUGCUUGUUUCAUAACAUCAGAUUUUUAAAUUCUGCUUCUUAUUUCCAACAUAAUUUGCUUUUCAAGUAGAUCCUCUAAAAUAGCUCAUAACGAAGGCUUAUUUUUAUCUAAACUGAUCAAAUAAAGAAAUAUAGCCUUGUAA